GAACUGCAGAGUGAAGUCGAGAAGAAGACAGAAGAAUUAAGACAAUCAUCCCUUUUCCAUGAGAGUGAAGUGACGAGGUUAAGAACCGAGAUCCAAGAGAAAGAGGAGGAAAUGAGAUGUCUCGUGUCUGCUCUUGCUACUGUUAGCAGAAUGGCAAGCGAGAAAAUUGCUGAAAGUCACACUACUUCCGAUGAAUUUUGUUUAUCACAGCCACCAGAGGAUGUGAUGUAUGCAGUCAGUGCUCUUGCCUGUGAUCAGUGGAGUGA